AUUCUACUCCUACUCGUCGGUCAACACCCAAGAAAGAAAUAAAAUUUCAUCUUCCUUUCCAAGCAAGCUAAAGCCGAUGCACACCUUCCUUUCUUCUUCUCCUCUCUUCUCAUCUUCAAGAAACCAAGUUCUCUUCAUCUCCUUCAAGCUUUGUGACUCCAUGGAAAGGGAAGAAUAAAUUUUUUUUUUUCUCUCAUCCUCUUCAAACCGUACGAGAACACUACCUCCAUACCCAUUUCCGAUUUUGCCUCAAAGCUUGGAACCAAAGCUUGUUUUCAUCUUCAAAAGGGUAAAAUCUUGAAGUGCUAUCAUUUUGGCUCUUCAUCCACAUGGCUAUUUCCCUAUUUGGUAUUCCACUUGUGUUUUGAAAGGGGCUAAGAGCUCAAGGUAAUGACAAAAAGGCUGGGGAGUAAGGCACUAUUGUAGAGGGAGAGACAAACGCUUAGUGCCUUCUUUAACUAGAACAGUUAUAUUUAUGGAUGAUGGGUUAUGUUUAUGUAUAGACAAUUUUAUGUUGGGAUGGACUCUGAGAGUUUCUUAUGGGUGAAUGUUUGAAUAGAAUGUCUAUUAGGUGUUCCCUUUAUUAAAUUAGAAAUUUAGAGUA